CGCGCAUGCUGAUCCGCGAUUACUAGCGAUUCCAGCUUCACGCAGUCGAGUUGCAGACUGCGAUCCGGACUACGAUCGGUUUUCUGGGAUUGGCUCCACCUCGCGGCUUGGCAACCCUCUGUUCCGACCAUUGUAUGACGUGUGAAGCCCUACCCAUAAGGGCCAUGAGGACUUGACGUCAUCCCCACCUUCCUCCGGUUUGUCACCGGCAGUCUCCCUGGAGUGCUCUUGCGUAGCAACUAGGGACAAGGGUUGCGCUCGUUGCGGGACUUAACCCAACAUCUCACGACACGAGCUGACGACAGCCAUGCAGCACCUGUGUUAUGGCUCCCUUUCGGGCACCCCCACCUCUCGGCAGGGUUCCAUACAUGUCAAGGGUAGGUAAGGUUUUUCGCGUUGCAUCGAAUUAAUCCACAUCAUCCACCGCUUGUGCGGGUCCCCGUCAAUUCCUUUGAGUUUUAAUCUUGCGACCGUACUCCCCAGGCGGUCAACUUCACGCGUUAGCUACGUUACUAAGGAAAUGAAUCCCCAACAACUAGUUGACAUCGUUUAGGGCGUGGACUACCAGGGUAUCUAAUCCUGUUUGCUCCCCGACGCUUUCGUGCAUGAGCGUCAGUAUUGGCCCAGGGGGCUGCCUUCGCCAUCGGUAUUCCUCCACAUCUCUACGCAUUUCACUGCUACACGUGGAAUUCUACCCCCCUCUGCCAUACUCUAGCCCGCCAGUCACCAAUGCAGUUCCCAGGUUAAGCCCGGGGAUUUCACAUCGGUCUUAGCGAACCGCCUGCGCACGCUUUACGCCCAGUAAUUCCGAUUAACGCUCGACACCCUACGUAUUACCGCGGCUGCUGGCACGUAGUUAGCCGGUGCUUAUUCUUCCGGUACCGUCAUCCCCCCGCCGUAUUAGGGCAGAGGUUUUCUUUCCGGACAAAAGUGCUUUACAACCCGAAGGCCUUCUUCACACACGCGGCAUUGCUGGAUCAGGGUUGCCCCCAUUGUCCAAAAUUCCCCACUGCUGCCUCCCGUAGGAGUCUGGGCCGUGUCUCAGUCCCAGUGUGGCUGGUCGUCCUCUCAGACCAGCUACGGAUCGUCGCCUUGGUAGGCCUUUACCCCACCAACUAGCUAAUCCGCCAUCGGCCGCCCCUUGAGCGGGAGGUCCUAAGAUCCCCCCCUUUCCUCCUUAGAGCGUAUGCGGUAUUAAUCCGGCUUUCGCCGGGCUAUCCCCCACUCCAGGACACGUUCCGAUGUAUUACUCACCCGUUCGCCACUCGCCACCAGGAUUGCUCCCGUGCUGCCGUUCGACUUGCAUGUGUAAGGCAUGCCGCCAGCGUUCAAUCUGAGCAG
rnacentral:rRNA from 1 species